UGUAAUAUCACAAAUUGCACAUAUCAUUCUUGAACGAAAUUCAUACAUAAAUAGAUUAUGUACUCGUUCCUUGCAGUUUCUCAAUUAAUGCAAAAAGACAUGCCUUUGUCUUUUGGUUUGACAUAAAGAUGUGCAUUUUCAGAUUUUAAUCUUCAAUUUUCCUUUGUUUACAAUAUUCCAUUCAAUAUAUCAUCCGAGACCACGUACGAUGGCUUCAUAAUUUAUCUCGAUGGAUAUUUCUUUUCCUUUGAUUUUCUACGAUGUUGGCACCUUUAUGAGCAUACUCUUGGUCAACGAUGCCCAUCAGAGAUUUUCAUGUUGGUAGUUUUAUUUGAAUUUGGGUUCUUGUGUAGUUAACUUAAUUUUUGAAUAUUUAUUUCAUAUGUCUGAUGCAGGCAUCUUCAUCCACAUCAAAGUUGCAGAAGACUGUUUUUCCUGAACAUGGCAUACAAAUUUUGGGGACAUUACAUUCUGGGUACGACAAGGUGUCGGGAUUUUGGGGAAAGGAAGCGCAUAAACCUGACAAGAUAAUUACUGUAAACCUCAAUGUGGGAGGUUGUCUGAUGCAAAACGCAAGCAAUGGGAAUACUGGUGUCAUGAUAAAUAAUCGUGAGAUAACAAAAGUUGAGCUGCAGAUGCAAUCUAAACAUAAUGUAUUUACAUUUACCGAUGCCAGCUCCUGCAAUCCUGAUAGAUGUGGUUGUAUCCCAGUGGGCAGGAGUCAAAUGUGCUGGAAGUCCUCACUUCUGGGUGGAUGCUGAUGGAUCAUAACGGGAGGAGGGACAGAAAAAUGUAAAGGGGAAGUUAUGGGACAAGGCUAGAACCAAGCUUCUAUGCUCUUUUCUGUCACUGCCAGUUCCUUGUAAGGGUGAAAAUCCCUCCGGU